rnacentral:SRP_RNA from 1 species
GGCCUGCCCACUGCAGGUUGGGAGUUGAGUGUGGGGACUUUAGUGAAGACUAAGGUCUCUUGGCUCUUAGUGUGGAGGGCACAGCGUGAGGCUGGUUUCACAGAGCAACGACCACCUCCCACUCCCGACAGUGGAGGGUUCACAGGCU